rnacentral:rRNA from 1 species
AUUGAACGCUGGCGGCAGGCCUAACACAUGCAAGUCGAGCGGAUGAAGGGAGCUUGCUCCUGGAUUCAGCGGCGGACGGGUGAGUAAUGCCUAGGAAUCUGCCUGGUAGUGGGGGAUAACGUCCGGAAACGGGCGCUAAUACCGCAUACGUCCUGAGGGAGAAAGUGGGGGAUCUUCGGACCUCACGCUAUCAGAUGAGCCUAGGUCGGAUUAGCUAGUUGGUGGGGUAAAGGCCUACCAAGGCGACGAUCCGUAACUGGUCUGAGAGGAUGAUCAGUCACCCUGGAACUUAGACACCGUCCAGACUCCUACGGGAGGCAGCAGUGGGGAAUUUUUGACAAUGGGCGGAAGCCUUAUCCAACCAUGCCGCGUGUGUUAAGAAGGUCUUCGGAUUGUAAAGCACUUUAAGUUGGGAGGAAGGGCAGUAAGUUAAUACCUUGCUGUUUUGACGUUACCAACAGAAUAAGCACCGGCUAACUUCGUG